rnacentral:piRNA from 1 species
UCCGUGAACUUUUUUGCUUGC